rnacentral:lncRNA from 1 species
UAUAAGCUAUAAUCAUGCAUUAGUUAUAAAAUUAUAGUAUCUUUUUCAUCAAGUUUGAUGCGGUGGUGUUUGGUAGGUUCAGAUGUGGAUCAAAACACUCCUGUUCAACUAAAGAAGUGACUCGAUUAUAUUUGUAUGAUGGUAAGUGAGAAAUAAAUGAUAAUUUUAUUAAUAUUGAAUUCCUUGUCGCUUAUAUGAUUGGUGAUGGUGAUUAUAUUUAUUAUAAGGUGAUUAUAUACAGA